rnacentral:rRNA from 1 species
UGUAAGCGUAUACCAAAGUUGUUGCAGUUAAAACGCUCGUAGUCGGAAUUUGGCAGUUCCGGAAGUGUGCACGUCGUGUGCGCACUUUGCGGGGACUGCUUUUGUGGUCUUGCGUAGGAUGAGGCACUUUCAUUAGUGAACGUCCUCACGCAACCACUCUUUACUGUGAGAAAAUCAGAGUGCUCAAAGCAGGCAUUUGCCGUGAAUGUAUUAGCAUGGAAUAAUAGAAUAGGACUCGGUUCUAUUUUGUUGGUUUGUUGGGACUGAGUAAUGAUUAAGAGGGACAGUUGGGGGCAUUUGUAUUCCAGCGCUAGAGGUGAAAUUCUUAGAUUGCCGGAAGACAAACUGCUGCGAAAGCGUCUGCCAAGGAUGUUUUCAUUGA